AUUGAACGCUGGCGGCAGGCCUAACACAUGCAAGUCGAGCGAGCGGCGGACGGGUGAGUAAUGUCUGGGAAACUGCCUGAUGGAGGGGGAUAACUACUGGAAACGGUAGCUAAUACCGCAUACCAUCAGAUGUUCCCAGAUGGGAUUAGCUAGUAGGUGGGGUAACGGCUCACCUAGGCGACGAUCCCUAGCUGGUCUGAGAGGAUGACCAGCCACACGGGAACUGAGAACCGGUCGAGACGCCUACGAGAGGCAGCAGUGGGGAAUAUUGCACAAGGGGCGCAAGCCUGAUGCAGCCAUGCCGCGUGUAUGAAGAAGGCCUUCGGUUUUUAAAGGACUUUCAGCGGGGAGGCGUUACCGGCAGAAGAAGCACCGGCUAACUCCGUGCCAGCAGCCGCGGUAAUAC
rnacentral:rRNA from 1 species